rnacentral:rRNA from 1 species
UGGGAAUUUGGACAAUGGGCGAAAGCCUGAUCCAGCAAUGCCGCGUGUGUGAAGAAGGCCUUCGGGUUGUAAAGCACUUUUGUCCGGAAAGAAAUCCUUGGCUCUAAUACAGUCGGGGGAUGACGGUACCGGAAGAAUAAGCACCGGCUAACUACGUGCCAGCAGCCGCGGUAAUACGUAGGGUGCAAGCGUUAAUCGGAAUUACUGGGCGUAAAGCGUGCGCAGGCGGUUUGCUAAGACCGAUGUGAAAUCCCCGGGCUCAACCUGGGAACUGCAUUGGUGACUGGCAGGCUAGAGUAUGGCAGAGGGGGGUAGAAUUCCACGUGUAGCAGUGAAAUGCGUAGAGAUGUGGAGGAAUACCGAUGGCGAAGGCAGCCCCCUGGGCCAAUACUGACGCUCAUGCACGAAAGCGUGGGGAGCAAAACAGGAUUAGAUACCCUGGUAGUCCACGCCCUAAACGAUGUCAACUAGUUGUUGGGGAUUCAUUUCCUUAGUAGCGUAGCUAACGCGUGAAGUUGACCGCCUGGGGAGUACGGUCGCAAGAUUAAAACUCAAAGGAAUUGACGGGGUCAUAGCUG